rnacentral:rRNA from 1 species
AUCGAACGCUGGCGGCAGGCCUAACACAUGCAAGUCGAGCGGGGUUUUCGGACCUAGCGGCGGACGGGUGAGUAAUGCGUAGGAAGCUACCCGAUAGAGGGGGAUACCAGUUGGAAACGACUGUUAAUACCGCAUAAUGUCUACGGACCAAAGUGUGGGACCUUCGGGCCACAUGCUAUCGGAUGCGCCUACGUGGGAUUAGCUAGUUGGUGAGGUAAUGGCUCACCAAGGCUACGAUCCCUAGCUGGUUUGAGAGGAUGAUCAGCCACACUGGAACUGAGACACGGUCCAGGAUCCUACGGGAGGCAGCAGGGGGGAAUAUUGGACAAUGGGCGCAAGCCUGAUCCAGCCAUGCCGCGUGUGUGAAGAAGGCCUUCGGGUUGUAAAGCACUUUCAGUAGGGAGGAAGCGUUGUGUGUUAAUAGUACACAGCGUUGACGUUACCUACAGAAGAAGCACCGGCUAACUCUGUGCCAGCCGCCGCGGUAAGAC